UCUUUCUCAUGGUAGAAUCUCUCUCAACUGCUCAAGUUAAGAAGCCCACAUAUGAUGGAUAAAGUAAGGCCAUUAGAUUUAGGCAUGAAUAUCAUGUUGAUGGUCUUAUAGCCAUCAUUACCUUGGCAUUUAUGCUUGAGGUUUAGGUCUUACAUAAUUUAAACCGUGUGCUUUUGUUUCCUUAUUUUCCUCCUUUACUCGUUAGUCUUCUCUUCAGUAUCCAUCAAUUUAGUUAAUUACUGUAAAUUGUUUCCCCUGCUAAUUAAAGAGUGGAAAUAAAAAUAACAAUAACAAGUCAAGCAACACCAAUGAAUAUGUUUAAUGGGAUGCAGAUAAUGUCAAUUAAUGCUAGCCAUUAGGAAAUGGUUUGCAAACCAAGACUGGAUAAUUUCCUUUUAGCGAUAUUAGAGAGAGAUAAAAUGUUCUUUUUAUGUAGUUUUGAGCGGGGAAAGGGGAGCGAAAAUAUGUCCUAUUGCAAAAGUUGGUUCUGGAUUGUGUCAUUAUUUUGGUCUAUUGCUGUUUACAUAAGUGAGUCGGAUACUGUGGUAUCUUUCUGGGUAGAGAUUACAUUUGAUGGUAGUACGAGCUAUUUAAUUCAGUUCAAAUCUACCUUGUGGGAUUAGUGCUGUUGUUCUACUGCUUCAUUGCUGUAGGUUUAGGUACUGUGGAUAUAAAGGUGUCACAAGUGUUUGUAAUGCCUCUGGCAAAUUGGCAGUAAUACUUUUAUGUCCUUUUCUUUAUGUUAUUUAUUCGAAUCAUGUUCUUGCUUCCCCUUAAUCUAUUGCCCCGUCAAAUUAAUUCUGGCCACUUUCAUCUCCUAAAGCUGACUGAUACGAGUGGAAAGACAGAAAAGGUGCAUAACUUAUGAUUCAUUUAUUUUGGUAUAUUGUUAAUGCUUGUUAUUGAAGAUUUAUUAUGUUUUGUCAUCAUCGUGCUACCAGACUCUGAGGUGAAUGCCAUUCGUAUUGCAUUAUUUAGUGUGAAUGUCAUUCUUAUCGACCUGAGCAUUCUUGGCUGGCAUGAUCUUAAAUCACCAAACUCUG
rnacentral:lncRNA from 1 species